rnacentral:tRNA from 1 species
GGUCGAUUAGCUCAGUUGGUUAGAGUACUUGCUUGACAUGCAAGGGGUCACUGGUUCGAGCCCAGCAUCGACCACCA